UUGAAUAUUUUUAUAUAGCUUUUUUUUUUUAAAGUCACAUAAUAACAGCAUUACAUAUACAUACACUUAAACUUUAAACUUUUUAAAGAAUUAAAACGAAACCAUACGUUACUAACCGCUAGAACAAAUAAAUUAGGCAAAGGUAGCACAGAAUUAUAGGCGUUCCCCGCAACGAGUCAAAACCGAUGUGCGCAUGCUCAGUAGGACAAAUCGAUGGGUAGGAUAAAUCGACAGAACACCGGAACUAAACGAUCCGGAUUUUCUGGGAAAAGUUCAUCUUCUUCAUCUUGGUAAUAACCUUGCUGAUCCGAGUGGGCUACAGACAGAGAGGGCUAAGGUAAAACUUGGCUUGAUUUGCAUGAGCUUGAAGACUUGCCUGUGAUUCCUCCUGGUGAAGGAUUGUGUAAUGUGUGACUCCCUAUCGAUGAUCAGUCAUGUAGUGUGCAAAACACAAUGACUUAAAGACUACCAAGCUCAUGACUAAUAUGAGCUCAGGUUGUGUAGUGUGAACAGUACAGCGAUGUGACGACUUUGAAAGUCGACUAUGUUGUGUGUCUGUUGCAUAAGCUGGUUUAACAGCGGAGCAAUUUUUAAUAAAGACAAUGUUUAACAUAA